GUUGUAACUAAUGUUGCAACAAACGAGAACCGAGUAUAGUUCAUGGGGUUCUGUUGCAAAGUUUUAAAUAAAGAAUAAAAUCCCUUACGGUAUCUAUGAUU
rnacentral:antisense_RNA from 18 species